UACGUAGGUGACAAGCGUUGUCCGGAUUUACUGGGCGUAAAGAGCGCGCAGGCGGUCGAUCAAGUCGAGUGUGAAAGCCCCCGGCUCAACUGGGGAGGGUCAUUCGAUACUGAUCGACUCGAAGGCAGGAGAGGGUAGUGGAAUUCCCGGUGUAGUGGUGAAAUGCGUAGAUAUUGGGAGGAACACCAGUGGCGAAGGCGGCUCACUGGACCGGUACUGACGCUGAUGCGCGAAAGCGUGGGGAGCAAACGGG
rnacentral:rRNA from 1 species